GAUGAACGCUGGCGGCGUGCCUAAUACAUGCAAGUCGAGCGAACAGACGAGGAUCUUUCUCCUCUGACGUUAGCGGCGGACGGGUGAGUAACACGUUGAUAACCUACCUAUAAGACUUGGAUAACUUCGGGAAACCGGAGCUAAUACCGUAUAAUAUAUUGAACCGCAUGGUUCAAUAGUGAAAGACGGUUUUGCUGUCACUUAUAGAUGGAUCCGCGCCGCAUUAGCUAGUUGGUAAGGUAACGGCUUACCAAGGCAACGAUGCGUAGCCGACCUGAGAGGGUGAUAGGCCACACUGGAACUGGGACACGGUCCAGACGCCUAAGGGAGGCAGCAGUAGGGAAUCUUACGCAAUGGGCGAAAGCCUGACGGAGCAACGCCGCGUGAGUGAUGAAGGUCUUCGGAUCGUAAAACUCUGUUAUUAGGGAAGAACAAAUGUGUAAGUAACUAUGCACGUCUUGACGGUACCUAAUCAGAAAGCCACGGCUAACUACGUG
rnacentral:rRNA from 1 species